rnacentral:rRNA from 1 species
UACGUAGGUGGCAAGCGUUGUCCGGAUUUAUUGGGCGUAAAGAGCUCGUAGGCGGCUUGUCACGUCGGGUGUGAAAGCCCGGGGCUUAACUCCGGGUCUGCAUUCGAUACGGGCUAGCUAGAGUGUGGUAGGGGAGAUCGGAAUUCCUGGUGUAGCGGUGAAAUGCGCAGAUAUCAGGAGGAACACCGGUGGCGAAGGCGGAUCUCUGGGCCAUUACUGACGCUGAGGAGCGAAAGCGUGGGGAGCGAACAGG